UUUAUUGUUCCUCAGUGCGUAAUUGACUGUGUUAUCAAUAGAGAGUGAUACAUUAUACAGUGACACAUAAAAGUGCGUCAUUUUGUAACGACUAAAAUGGAUUUACAAGGGCAUUUUGAACGUCCAGAAAUUAUCAACAACCCUAUAUACCAACUUUUAUUAAAUUCAGCUGAUAGCAAAAGUGUUUUAAAAUAUUAUCGAGAUAAUGGAUGCUUGAAGAAAACCUUAAGAAAUUUACUCAGCAGACUUAUACUCAGCCCUGAAAAAGAUAGACAAUUAGAAACAGUUCUCCAAGUGCCAUAAAGAUGCUCCUAUUUUUUACAAAGUAGAUAAUAUUAUAGUUUGUAGCAAUAUUAAAGUAUGUCUUAUUGUUAAAAAAUUAAUAAGUACAUUCCUCUACGAAAAAACUGAAUGUUAUCGAUUGUACAACGAUCAGUAUACGUGGGAUGUACUAAAUUUGGAUGACCUAUUUAGCUUUAAGAUUACAAAUCUUGUAAGAGCAUCUAAUGGUGCGAAAUUUAUUCUCAAAAAUUGGUUUUAAUUUAAAUAAAGAUAUAUUUAAUAAUUCAUAAAA
rnacentral:lncRNA from 1 species